rnacentral:rRNA from 1 species
CCAAUAGCGUAUAUUAAAGUUGUUGCAGUUAAAAAGCUCGUAGUUGAAUUUUGGGUUUGGCCGAUUGGUCCGUUCUUGUAACGAGUACUGGUCGGUUGGGCCUCACCGCCUGGUGAUGCGUAAUGUCCUUUAUUGGGUGUUGCGAGUAGCCAGGACUUUUACCUUGAAAAAAUUAGAGUGUUUAAAGCAGGCUUAUGCCGGAAUACAUUAGCAUGGAAUAAUAGAAUAGGACGAUGAUUCUAUUUUGUUGGUUUCUAGGACCAUCGUAAUGAUUAAUAGGGAUAGUUGGGGGCAUUAGUAUUCAAUUGUCAGAGGUGAAAUUCUUGGAUUUAUUGAAGACUAACUACUGCGAAAGCAUUUGCCAAGGAUGUUUUCAUUAAUCAAGAACGAAAGUUAGGGGAUCGAAGACGAUCAGAUACCGUCGUAGUCUUAACCAUAAACUAUGCCGACUAGGGAUCGGGCGAUGUUGUUUCAAUGACUCGCUCGGCACCUUAUG